rnacentral:rRNA from 1 species
ACGGGGGGUGCAAGCGUUGUUCGGAAUCACUGGGCGUAAAGGGCGCGCAGGCGGCUGGACAAGUCAGAUGUGAAAUCCCAGGGCUUAACCCAGGAAGUGCAUUUGAAACUGCUCGACUUGAGUAAGAGAGGGGAAAGUGGAAUUCCUGGUGUAGAGGUGAAAUUCGUAGAUAUCGGGAGGAAUACCGGUGGCGAAGGCGACUUUCUGGCUGAGUACUGACGCUGAGGCGCGAAAGCGUGGGGAGCAAACAG